AAUCCACAUGCCACUCGUUGGUCGGUAGGUUUUCCAGUCGUUGGUCGGUAGGUUUUCCAGUCGUUGGUCGGUAGGUUUCUUAGUAGCUAGUUUGGUCACAGGUCACUUAACAAC